UUGCUGGUGCUCCUUGCCUACUGGAGGCUGUUUGAAGCUUUAGGUCAUUCAGUGCAUACUUUGUUACUGAUGUCAAUGGAAGAAAUUAAUCCAUGUUUCUCCAGCCAUAGGUGCCAAGUUCUACUGCUAUUACACUGGCUAGAUGGCUCUGAAGCACAGGCAUCAACUGACAAGGGAGCUCUGGGCCUGAGGAGAUGAUGUGGAAGUUGCACCAUCUGAAUCAGUCUCAGGCAGGACUUGGUGGCACAGUGAAGCAAAAAUGCUCAGUGAAAUCAGUCAGCAAACUAGCAGUUUUCAUUACCAUGAGGCUGGUUAUUACUGUUGUCACAGCUUCGAUUGAAUGACUUUAACUUUUAAACUAAAAUAGGAAAAUAAGUCGGAAAUGCACCAAGAUGAAGAAUUUAUUGAUGUAUUCUGGUUGGGCUUUCAUUAUGUUUUAAUGUUUUAAUUUUGUGGAUAAACAAUUUAAUUUGUACAGUGAUAAACUGAAAGGUAAUUUCUGAAUAAAACUGAAUUU